GAUGAAGAACGUAGCGAAAUGCGAUACUUGGUGUGAAUUGCAGAAUCCCGUGAACCAUCGAGUCUUUGAACGCAAGUUGCGCCCGAAGCCAUUUGGUUGAGGGCACGUCUGCCUGGGCGUCACAUAUCGUUGCCCGAUGCCUAUUGGACUGUGAUAGGAAAUUCUAGGGCGAAAGAUGGCUUCCCGUGAGCGUUGUUGCCUCGCGGUUGGUUGAAAAUUGAGUCCUUGGUAGGGUGUGCCAUGAUAGAUGGUGGUCGAGUUUGCACGAGACCGAUCAUGUGUGCGCUCCCCAAAAUAUGGACUCUUUGACCCCACACGCGUCUUUUGACGCUCAUGACGAGACCUCAGGUCAGGCGGGGCUACCCGCUGAGUUUAAGCAUAUCAAUAAUCGGAGGA
rnacentral:misc_RNA from 1 species